rnacentral:lncRNA from 1 species
GUUGCUCCGCGGCGACCGCGCCCGCCCGCCCGCAGGGACCUGGGGACGCACAGGGACGCGCGGGGCCCGGGUGCUCGGCUGAGCUCGCUCUGCUCGGGUCGCAGGCCUUGGGGCAGGCCGGGGGACCCGUGCACCCGGCUGGGGCCAGGAACCCUCACUGCUCGGCCUGCGCCGCCCCGGGAACCGGCCCCGGCGGGAACAAAGCCCGGGCCCUCCCGGAGGCGCUGACCCCUCGCUCAUCAAAGUUGCAGAAACUUAUAAAAACAUCCCCCUGUUCUCCGUUGAGAGUUAAGGAUAGUUUUUGAGACCAGAGAAAGAUAAAGGAAGGAGAGAUCACUAGAAAGAGAGGAAGAGAAGAAGUGGGAAGAAAAGGAGCUGCAGUCUACAAUGGAAGCCUCCAGGCUCCUUAGCCUCACCUUAAAAAGCCACAUCACCGCAGAGAUAGCAAAGAUCGUGCCCAUUCCCAGGGAGUUUCUACCGCCAGGCAUGAAGUCCACUAAUGCCAGCUUCAGAUUUGCAACUGAAUCAAAGUCUCUGAGUCGUCAUUACAAGGUUUUUCGGUGGGUGGGGGCAUGGAGAAGUGGACAAUAAGGAUGUAUUAAAGACACAGACAAGGUGUGGCAGGGGCAAAGUGGGGGGAGGUGUUACAAAGAAAGGAAGCUGAGAUGAAUCACCGCGUGCCAUGAAAAUACCAGGGUGAGUGGAUGUCGGAGUGUUUAACCAGAUUUGAAGCUGGAAGCAUCUUCCCCAGCGGGCAAACCCUAGGACGAGGCACAGCCACGCGACCCUCAGCCUUUGAACCCAGACCUGGCAGCUUAGGAGCACACUCCCUCUUCCCCAGGCAGCCACAGGCUCUGAGCUGAAAGGCAAGGUGGGGGUAGGGAUGAGAGGGCCCUGCAAAGAAGAAGCACAAUCAACAACUCAAAUAUGAACGGAAAUGACGUCAGCAAAGUGAAGGACCUGUUUACUGCAGAUCAAAACAAAACAAACUUCCAAACCUUUUGUGUACACAAGAGAACUCUAUAAAAAGCCUUCCUAAAAUGUCACCAGGGUCGACACAUCGGCAUCCUCACAAGAAAACGCAUGACAGUUACCAUGGGGGGAGGGGGGAGGAAAGGGACUGAAGGGAAG